GGAGUCUGGGCCGUGUCUCAGUCCCAAUGUGGCCGUUCAUCCUCUCAGAUCGGCUACGCAUCAUCGCCUUGGUGGGCCGUUACCUCACCAACUAGCUAAUGCGACAUGAACCCAUCCCAAUGUGAAGCGUACGCUCCUUUAAUAAUCUUUAGAUGCCUAGAGAUUACCUAUCCGGUAUUAGCGUUCUUUUCAAAACGUUAUCCCAGUCAAAGGGGUAGGUUGUUCAUGUGUUACUCACCCGUUCGCCACUGAUCCAGCACCGAAGUGCUUUCACCGUUCGACUUGCAUGUAUUAGGCACGCCGCCAGCGUUCAUC
rnacentral:rRNA from 1 species